CGCAUCUGUGCAUGCAGCAUAUCAAUAAGCGGAGGAAAAGAAACUAACAAGGAUUCCCUCAGUAACGGCGAGUGAAGCGGGAAGAGCUCAAAUUUGAAAUCUUGAAAGGUCACCUUUCACGAAUUGUAGUUUAAAGAAGUGUUUUCUGUUACGAUCGUAAUAUAAGUUCUUUGGAAUAGGACAUCACAGAGGGUGAGAAUCCCGUCUAUGAUUGCGAUUUGUAGCUUUGUGAUACACUUUCAAAGAGUCGGGUUGUUUGGGAAUGCAGCCCAAAACGGGAGGUAAAUUUCUUCUAAGGCUAAAUAUUGGCGAGAGACCGAUAGCGAACAAGUACCGAUGAGGGAAAGAUGAAAAGAACUUUGAAAGAGAGUUAAAUAGUACGUGAAAUUGUCAAAAGGGAAGCGUUUAACACCAGUGUUGUUUUCUGAAAAUCAACCUCUGUUAGCUUUAUGCAUGUUUGUUUAGACCUAAUCAGCUAUCUUGCAUGUUCUAUUGUUUGCAGUGGUGCACUUUUCAGUUUACAGGUCAACAUCAGUUUUUUUUACCGUAAAAAAGUUAAAGAAAGGUAGCUCAUGGCUCCGGUCGUGAGUGUUAUAGUCUUUUUCCUAUGCGGUAGGAGAGACUGAGGUCUGCAGUGUAGGCUAUUUGGCUAGAUACUCAGGUGCUAUGUGAUACCAUUUCAUAAACAACUUGUUGAUUAUGUUUUGUCUAUUGCAUACUCGCUUGUACUAUCAUACCUACGCUUAGGAUGUUGACGAUCAGCUGAGCGCG
rnacentral:rRNA from 1 species